rnacentral:rRNA from 1 species
CCUACGGGUGGCAGCAGUGGGGAAUAUUGGACAAUGGGGGGAACUCUGAAGCAGCGAUGCCGCGUGCGUGAAGAAGUAUCUAGGUAUGUAAAGCUGUGUCAGCAGGGAAGAAGAAAGACGGUACCUGACCAAGAAGCACCGGCUAACUACGUGCCAGCAGCCGCGGUAAUACGGAGGGGGCAAGCGUUAACCGGAUUUACUGGGUUUAAAGGGAGCGUAGACGGCAGGGCAAGUCUGGAGUGAAAGGCAGGGGCCCAACACCGGGACUGCUCUGGAAACUGUCCGGCCGGAGUGCAGGAGAGGUAGGUGGAAUGCCUAGUGUAGCGGUGAAAUGCGUAGAUAUUAGGAGGAACACCAGUUGCGAAGGCAGCUUACUGAACUGUAACUGACGUUGAGGCUCGAAAGCGUGGGGAGCAAACAGGAUUAGAUACCCGGGUAGUC